GAUGAACGCUGGCGGCGUGCCUAAUACAUGCGAGUCGAGCGAACAGAUAAGGAGCUUGCUCCUUUGACGUUAGCGGCGGACGGGUGAGUAACACGUGGAUAACCUACCUAUAAGACUGGGAUAACUUCGGGAAACCGGAGCUAAUACCGGAUAACAUAUUGAACCGCAUGGUUCAAUAGUGAAAGGCGGCUUUGCUGUCACUUAUAGAUGGAUCCGCGCCGUAUUAGCUAGUUGGUAAGGUAACGGCUUACCAAGGCAACGAUACGUAGCCGACCUGAGAGGGGGGUCGGCCAAACUGGAACUGGAACACGGCCCAGACUCCCACGGGGGGCAGCAGUGGGGAAUUUUCCGCAAUGGGGGAAAGCCUGACGGGGAAACGCCGGGUGAGUGAUGAAGGUUUUGGGAUCGUAAAACUCUUUUAUCAGGAAAAAAAAAAUGUGUAAGUAACUUUGCACACUUUGACGGAACUUGAUCAGAAAGCCCCGGCAAACUACGU
rnacentral:rRNA from 1 species